UCGUGUUGCCGGCGGUAAGAGCACACUGUAAGCGCAUCGUGGGCUCCUACAAAUUCUCGUGUACUGUCGCAAUGCCUGUUUUUGUAGAAUAUGAGAUUCAUGCGACCACUGCGGUAGUCGCCCAUAUCCACUGUGCAAUACUUCGGUCCGGUAAACCCGACCGCUCCGUACGAGAUGUGGUGGAACGGCGGUGACGGCACUUGGGAUGGAUACCAGAGCAACCAGAGUGCUGCGCCUGGCUGGCUUAUGUCAGGUCUGGCAUCUGGAUUGGCAAGCAGGCAUCGGGAACGUUGGUCUGGGUCAUGUCUGAUUUGAUGUUCUGGCAUUUGGUGUCCGAUGUUUUGGACAGUAGAUGAGCUGAAAAAAAAAACCGAAGCACGACUGGAACUUUGUCCGAAAAGUCUUGGUGAAAGGAAAGGGCAACAUCCUGCCCAGCCUCCACAUCACAGAAGCUGUCGUCCCUUAAAGUUGACACGCAGAUGCCAUUGGCUCAGGAGGACAGCAUCGACUUCGUUAUUGGUCAUCAAAGGACGAUGGAAAGGCCUCUUCGGAGUCUACAUGGGGUCUGCAGUGAGCGAGGACGAGGGAAGAAAAGGAUGAAGGAUGUGCGGCGGCACCUCUCCCAGAAACUGGCGGAUUGCCAGAGAAAGUAGAACAAUGCUCAGUUCGAACUAUAAAAAAUUUGAAUGACAUCCCCUAGGCAUUUGUUGACUUCAUUACCUGGCGGCUUUGUAUGUUUGUCUAACAAACGAGCCCUUAAUUAACUCCUCUUUUGUUCAUAGUAGAACAUGUAGUUUUACAGAUUUUUCUAUGGACAGAAUCAAGUAAA